rnacentral:rRNA from 1 species
UGAGGAAUAUUGGUCAAUGGGCGCAAGCCUGAACCAGCCAUGCCGCGUGCAGGAUUGACGGCCCUACGGGUUGUAAACUGCUUUUGUACGGGGGCAAACCCCUUCUUGCGAGGAGGGUUGAGAGUACCGUACGAAUAAGGAUCGGCUAACUCCGUGCCAGCAGCCGCGGUAAUACGGAGGAUCCGAGCGUUAUCCGGAUUCAUUGGGUUUAAAGGGUGCGUAGGCGGCUUGGUAAGUCAGCGGUGAAAGGCUGGGGCUCAACCCUAGCAGUGCCGUUGAUACUGCCGAGCUUGAGAACAGAUGAAGCUGGCGGAAUGUGCAGUGUAGCGGUGAAAUGCAUAGAUAUUGCACAGAAGGCCGAUUGCGAAGGCAGCUGGCUAAGCUGUAUCUGACGCUGAGGCACGAAAGCGUGGGGAUCAAACA